rnacentral:misc_RNA from 1 species
AAGGAUGCGUUGGCCUAUCUCAACCAACAGAAGCUGAAAUGGCCGAUGCCAUGCCACUCUUGGCCUCUUCUCUUCACCCUAUCACUCUCCCUCGCUCCUCUCUUCGUCUUCUGUCUUGCCCUCGCUCCGCUUCACCCUUCUCUUUGUCCGCUUCUUUCCCAAAAUUCCCUUUCACCACCAAAAUCCAAUGCGCCAACACCAACAAACAACCAGACUCUCAGUCCCAAGCGACCUCGAGUUUCGACCCCAAAAGCGGUGUCGCAGUUUACAAGCCCAAGUCCUACGAAGUGCUCGUCACUGAUGCUGUUAAUUCUCUCGCUUUCGCUCUUCAGGAUGGCAAAACCCGCUUGGAGAUUGAUUUCCCGCCCUUGCCUAGCAACAUUUCUUCUUACAAGGGAUCUUCAGAUGAGUUCAUUGAUGCCAGCAUUCAACUUGCCUUGGCUGUUAUCAGGAAGCUCCAAGAGAAAAGGGAAACCAGAGCUUGCAUAGUGUUUCCUGACAAGCCAGAAAGGCGUAGGGCUUCUCAACUUUUCAAAGCAGCUCUUGACUCGGUAACAGACUAAAUCAAGAUUGAUGGCAUAAGCAUAGGUUCGCUUGAUGAUAUCCCCAGUGAUGCUGUCACCACAUUUUUCAAGUCGAUAAGAAACACCUUAGAUUUUGAUUUUGAAGAUGAUAAUGAAGGUCAAUGGCAGUCCAACGAGCCCCCAUCCCUUUAUGUAUUUUUUAAUUGUAGCACAGUGAACUUUCUGUUAUAGAGCAGUAUGUGGAAAAAUUUGCCUCUUCAACCCCAACGCUGUUGUUCAAUCUUGAACUGGACACAUUGCGUGCUGACUUGGAGUUUCUGGGAUUCCCAACCAAAGAUUUGCACUUUCGAUUUCUAUCUCAAUUCAUCCCAGUAUUUUAUAUUCGAAUCAGAGAGUACUCAAAGGUUUCUCUUUUUUCAUUUAUCUUAGAUCUCUUCUCUGUAAUUUGUUUUCUGAAUUGAGGUCUUCAGUAACUGCUUGUUCUUAAUUAUGUAAGACAGUAGCAGUAGCACCUUUUGUCGUCAAUUACAGCGGAGCAUUGUUUCGUCAAUACCCUGGUCCAUGGCAGGUGAUGCUUAAACAAGCAGAUGGUUCUUAUGCUUGUGUAGCAGAAAGUGCAACUUGCUUCACACUUGGCGAGACCAAAGAAGAACUGCUGAGGGUCCUUGGACUGCAGGAGGAAAAAGGAAGCUUACUAGAAUUUCUUCGCAGGGGCUACAAGUCAGGUUCUGGUGGCCUCUGCGGUUUCAGCAAGUUUGUACCGCUAGUGCUGCGAAGCCUGUGCCCACGAAGAGCAUUGGCUGCAAAGCGAGAUGCAAGUAGUGUUGCACCAAGCCUGGACGAACUGCUUCGCGAAAUUAAUGCCCUCCUAUCAUCAUGAUCAUCUUCCUCUUCCUCAUCACACUCUGCGGCUUCUUCUAAGAGACGAAGUUCUGCUGCUUUCCUCCUGGCAUACUUACGCCAAGAAGCUUGGAUUAACAUGGCGGCCCAAGUCCUCCAUUGCUGCGAGUAGAAACGGAAAGUGUGCUGCACCUGCCUGCUAUGAAGACGCCUAAACUGACUUGCAACGAACUUCAGCUCUUCAGCUUCCAAGGCAAAAGCCUCUACCUCAGUUAAGGCCAUGACAGUCCUAGUAGAUGAGGGUAAGCUAUUACCAGCUUUAGGGUCCAGUGCCCAAGUUAGAAGCUCUUCUCCACAAAAAUCCCCUUCUUUCAAGAAUCCUCUGUUGAAAAAUCCACUCCUUCCACCAUCAGUAGUCACACUCUCUAGGCGGCCACGAAUGAUGAAUAGCAUUUCAUCGACAGGGUCCCCUUCACGGACUAUGUGAGUUUCGUCUGUGUAUAGACUUGGCUUCAGUCGUUCACAAAUAGCAUCUAGCAACCUUUCAUCCAUAUUGGCAAACAGAGGAACCUGCAGUCGUGUUCCUUAGAGAAGAAUGAUACACCUGGAGCAACAAAAAUACAAAACUGGAUAUACUUACCCUUCUGACUAAAUUUAAACAAAGAUGUCUCUUGAUAUCCCUUCUGAGAUCUUUUGGUAGAUUCUGGACCAGACUUUCUUCAUCCACUCCCCGAGUUUCCAACCAUUUGUAUUGAUCAUACCGCCUGACUCGCUCCCUAAGAUCCUGUGGAAGCAAGCGAUGAUGCAUCCACUGCUCCGAAUCACGCCUUUUGAUCCUCAUCUCCUCCAGACGAACAGUAAUAGACGAAAGGUAGGUCUGCAGCAACCAAGACACAUCAAACCUCAGAAUCAGGAUUCAAUGUUAUUGAUACAUUGCAUUUGUUUUCAAAUGUUAUUAGUAGUGAAAUAGGUUCUCUUCCAAGAUACCAUUUCAGAUUAACAACAUCCCUCAAACAGAUUGUAACAUGUUCUGAGAUAUUAGCAGCCUCAGUAGUUCACAAAAGAAUUAAAACAGCAUCUAAUCUGAAUCAAAUCAACUUACAUUUAAGUAUUUAACAUACCUGCAUGUUUCCAAUCAGAAGCGCAAAGAGGACAAGCCCAGAAAUUGCUAUUGCAAUGGAAAAUAAUACCUCUAAAGGAUAGGUGCUGGUUUCAAGACCCUGACCAAGUGUACUCAAGUUUUGCAAGCCCCACCAUAAACAAUAAAAGAAUUUAGAGAGGAAUAUCCUUGAUGCAACAAUGUCUGAUGACAUGGCCUGUGUAUAGAUUCCGUAAUUAAAUGAUGAAUUACCAUCAUCGUUAACAUUACAGUUGUUUGCAAGGACAUCAUCACUGACCCUCCGCCACUCAUGGAAACCUGGCAAUACCUUGUUGCCACAGUACAAGAAGCCUAUAUCACAUUUUGCACUUUCAAUGCAAGCUUUUUGCCAGCAUGUGUCCUUGCGUUCAACAGCUAGUAAGUACCAGAAAGCCCCAGCUAUAUGACUAGCAAGCAAGUACCAAAGCAGAUAGUAUGCAGCACCCGCCCAAGCACUUUCAGCAAAAGCACCAGCAGUCUUUUUUAGGUCUGAAGUUAAAGGAACAAAGCGGAGAAACCUUGGAAUGUAUUGAAGAAAGACGAGAACUAACAAUGCUCUUUUUGUAGCCAAUACCUCUGAACCUUUUCUUUUAUUAUUAAGAUAUUUCCAUACCGCUAUCUGUGGUAAGGGUAGCACAGAAAGAAAAUCAACAAUGAAAUAACGACGUAAAUACCGAGCAGCUAUCUGUCCAGCAUCUAUUACAAGUUCACCUCGUCCGAAGACCCUUGAUGAUGGUGCAACAUAAGCUGUGCGGAACUGAAGAGCCACGCGAAGCAGAUAAAAAGCAUCAAGUAUUGUCCGAGCAGCAGUAAUUGUGGCUGCUAGAUUUGUAUCCAUGCCCAGGCACACCAUUUUAUAGUUAAAGACUGGCAGAUAAAAGAAUAAAGGAUCUACGGAUACUGCAAGAAUGCAGGAUAUGACAAAAAGCCUGUUCCAUAAGAGGAGAGAUUUGUCUUGAGGAUCAAAUAUCUUUUUCUCAGACACUUUAAGAUCCUCAGGGAACACUGCACGAGUCACUCCAGUUGUUAUUGAUCGACCGAUUGUUAUCAGUCCUUCUGAUCCCUUUUUCACAUCAAAAUCAAACCUGAAAGAUUGUGAUGGAUUCUUCUUUCCACGUCUACUAAGGGAAAAUCCUUCUAAAAAAUUGAAACAGAAUUUCUUCAUUCCACCGCUAUUAGUAUUCAUUGACAACGUAGAGUCCAUAUCAUCCAAUCUCACAAAUUUCUCCCUCUGGUCACCGGUGUACCGUGACUUGUAUCCACAAUCAAACAUUUUGUACAACAGGUCACAUAGAUAUCUUCAAGGCAAAAACAACCAACUAGCAUGUAGUAAUAUUUAAUCAACAGAAACUUCUGCACAACCAAAAGAAGAAAAGUGUACGAUGCUGCAUGGAAAUCCUUCCAAGGAAAAUGCUCAACAUAUUCAUGAAGCAUGUAAUUCAAAACUCUUUUCAGCAAAAUGUCAGGUAAUCACAACAAAGUAUCAAUAGGCUGUAAUUCUUUAACAAGAAAUUAACUGAGAUAAUAAAGCUGCAAAAGAUUACAGAAAUGAUUAACAUCAGUUUUUUGCUGGUUUCCCUUUUCCUCUCAGUGCUCAUCAAUGACCAAAAUCUGUAGUUUUGCAGACAAAAGCCAGCAACCCUAGUUGCAGCUGAUGAAAGUAUCAUUUCUUCAUUUAGGUUGCUUCUGGUAGAUUUUGAAUAUCUUGAAAGAGGCAAAACCAAUAAAUCAUAAAAUAUUGAUGCUAAAAAUUGGUUGACCAUUGCAAGCAUUUCUAUGCAGCCCUAGAAUUGAUAACCGGUUAUAGAUUAAGAAUGUCUUAAUUAACCCAAGUGCCGACUAAUGACAUUGACAGUGCCACUACCAUUCCCUCAUGAGAUUAUAAAUCCCAGAAAUUACUGCAAACAAUUAUUUCCUACAAAGAAUUCCCAAAAAAGAACAAUUUCAUUGGGCCUAUUAUUGUUAUUACCCUCAACAUUUUAUCAAAUUAUUUGAUGGCAUUCUGAUCCUAUAUGAUCCCAUGCUCAAAAUGGCUUCAGCCCCAUGAUGACAUUAACGUUGGCAAAAUUCAAAAUUUUUUCAAAAAAAACACAAAACAAUCAGAACCCACGAAAGAAUUAUACAAGAAAAAAUGAUAAAGAAAAAUCAAAAGGCAAUAAAAGACUGAUACAAAAAAUAAAAAAAGGAUAGAUAGAGGAGAUAUUGAAACUUAGCUGCAAGAUUUCAUGGAAUGGGGAAUAUAAGGAAAAUGAUUAAUGAAC